GCUUGUCUCAAAGAUUAAGCCAUGCAUGUCUAAGUAUAAACAACUUUAUACUGUGAAACUGCGUACAGCUCAUUAUAUCAGUUAUAAUUUAUUUGAUGGUGAUUUACUACAUGGAUAACCGUGGUAAUUCUAGAGCUAAUACAUGCGUAAGAUCCUGACUAACGAAGGGGUGUAUUUAUUAGAUACAAAACCAAUGCCCUUCGGGGCUCCUUGGUGAUUCAUGAUAACUAUACGAAUCGCACGGCCUUGCGCCGGCGAUGGUUCAUUCAAAUUUCUUCCCUAUCAACUUUCGAUGUUUGGGUAUUGGCCAAACAUGGUUGCAACGGGUAACGGAGGGUUAGGGCUCGACCCCGGAGAAGGAGCCUGAGAAACGGCUACUACAUCCAAGGAAGGCAGCAGG
rnacentral:rRNA from 1 species